CUCCCUGACUCCCUGAGUGUUCUGAAGGACCGUUGAAGACGACGACGUUGAUAGGCCGGGUGUGUAAGCGCAGCGAUGCGUUGAGCUAACCGGUGCUAAUGAACCGUGAGGCUUAUCCUU
rnacentral:rRNA from 1 species